rnacentral:rRNA from 1 species
CUUAAAAAACAUUGUUUUUUGAUUAUAAUUAAAAAUAUAAUCUGCCCAAUGAUUUUACAUUAAAUGGCUGCAGUAAUUUAACUGUACAAAGGUAGCAUAAUAAAUUGUUUUUUAAUUUAAAACUUGAAUGAAUGAUUAAAUGAAAUAUAUUCUUUAUUAAUUUAAUAAUUUUAAUUUAAAUUUUAAGUAAAAAUGCUUAAAUUUUUUAAUAAGACGAUAAGACCCUAUAAAAUUUUUUUAAAUUUAUAAAUUUAAAAAAUUAAUUUAUUUUUAUAUUUAUAAAUUUAUUUAAUUGGGAGGAUUAUUUAAAUUAAAUUACUUAAAUAUUUAUUUUUACAAUUAUUAAUGAUUUUUUUUUAAUUUUUAUUUAAAAUUAUUAAAUAAAUUACUUUAGGGAUAACAGCGUAAUAUUUUUAGUAAGUUCAUAUUUAUAAAAAUGUUUGCGACCUCGUUUGGAAU